AGUCAGUAGUGCUCGUGGAAAUUUGGUAUCUAUAAGGUUGAUCAAAGCUUUCUGUACAUCUCCAUAAUAUAGUAUGAUAUCUAUACCUGUAGUGUACAACAGCUGCAGCGUACGGACGUUCACUUUCGUCGAGGUCUCCAAACAACGUGAAUUAUACACUAUAGUUGCCAACGCAAGGAAAUAAAUACAAGCCGUAACAGAUUUGGAUAUCAUAGUGCGUAGUCCAACAUCGUGUAUCAUUCCACUUUCCAGACGACUGCAAGCGCGUUACGUUUUUUUCGCUAGAAAACCGGUGGAAAACAAUGCACACGCAUAAGUCUGUCGCAACCGCAAUACAACACGACUAUAUUUAAUUUGUGUACGUAUUUUACUCGAAUAUUAUUAUUUAGUAAAACAUACUGCAAUACGUAUUGUUAUUAUUAUUGUUAUCAUCUUGUGGGAGGUCACGAGCUCGAAUCUCUCGCCGCGCCCUUCCCAAAUCCGAAACACGCGUCGGUGGUGGAAAUCCGCGUCCGUGUCCGCCCGCUCGACUGAGUCAGCUGCGCUCGACAAGAAUAAUAUUAUACUAUUUGGUGUUAUACGCGUAUGGCCACCGUCCGCUGCCGAUCGUCUCUCGCCGCGCCAGUUCCGAUCAGUCAGUCAGAGUCCGGUCGCCGAACGCAUCAGGCAGUAUACCUAGCUGCAGGUAUCCUCCGCAGACAUAUUAUAAUAUUAUAUCGUCAUCGAUAUAAUAUCAAUAACCAAAACUCUAUACACGCACCGACAGUCGAUCAAGUCAGCACAAGCGAUCGGCCGUCGUCGGUGGGAAUCGGGCGCGGACGUCAUUGACACAGUACGUCAUAAUAUACCCUGCAAUAUAGUAUUAACUGCAUCACGCCAUAUCAUAAGUCUUCAGGUCCGUGACGUAUAGUCGUCCCCGCCCGGCGCAAUAUUUGAUAAGUCGAUAUAAUAUCGUCGUCGUAUAUUAUAAACGCGCAGACAGCGACAGCAGUCAGUCGACGCAGGAGACACGACCAUCAUGGACAAGCAACAGGAAGCCGCGGUAGCAGCAGCCGGUACAGCGUCGGAAGACAGCAUCAGCAUGAAAACGGAAUAUCCCACGCACGAGGUGUACGUCUCCGAACCACCACCGGUGAGUUGUUUAGACGAUAAUAUAGCAUUGUAUAUUAUAUUAUUAUUACAAUAUUAUUAUAUACAUUUAUAUAGUAAAAUAUAAUUACCAUAAUAAUUACGAAAAUUCGUCUUACGAGGAGCAAUCGUAGUUAGAGCAAAAUCGUUCGUCGUCUCGCGCCCGUCGCGCGGUGGCCGCUGCGUCACACUCCACUUCGCGGUUCGCUAGAAAGUCGAAACGCUCGUGCCGUAGGUACCUUUCAAUAAGACCGCGACGACCGGAAGCGUAUUUUGUUACUACGGAUUUUCAUCUUUACUAUUCGGCGGGUUGUGGAUAUAAUAAUAACUAAAUUUCUGCCCAGCUCGAGAUGACUACCACUGUUGUGUAUUACACCUAUAUUUUAUAUGACGACAUGACGGUUGACUUGGGACCCACGCGGGUGACUUCAACGGGUAUGGGAUUUCUGUCCGGACAUCAGACCACGAAAAAUCAAUCAUAAAAAUUCGCACUUUUUUUUCUAUCGGUGUGUUAUCUAAAAGGGCUUGUUGCAAGACCGUUCUGCUAGUAAAAAAAUGCCAUCAUAGUAUAAAAUAUGACAAUGGUCUUGUUCUCUUGUAUAUAAAGAAUGUAUAGGCAGAUUGAUAGAUACGUAAUAAGUGUAUUUAUACGGUUUAGUAUAAUAUACACUAUAUCUACCUAUGCUGCCAUACUGGCUAUACAUUGUACACAUAAUAAAUAUAAAUGUUAAAAUGUAUUUUGAAUAGUCGUAUGGGCAGCUAUUUACUUCUAUGUUCGACGUUCACGUUUUCGGUUUGGUUUUUUUCACAUGAAACCUGUUGUCUGUUGGGACAAACAAUAGUCGCUAAAAAUUAAUCGCUUUUACUAUAAUAUGUAGGUAUAAUAUAUAUUGUGUACAUGAAAUGAGAAAGAAAAACUAUUUAAGCGUACAGUAUAUAGUAAUAAUAUGUGCGCAUAGAUCACGAGCGCAGUACAAUAACAGCGAUUGACACAUGUGGUGCAUAUUAUUUUAAUAUAAUCAUUAAUCAUAAUUCAUAAUUGAGAUGCGAGUAUAGGUACCUACCUAUAUUAUAUAAGCCGCCUUUAGCAACAAUAAUAUCUCUCACUCGUACAGGUACCAUAUUAAAAAAGGGGUAUCUUCAGUGCGAUAUCGUCUAUUGCGAGGUCCCGCGGGGCCAGAUCGGAAAAAAUGCCUACCUAUUCCACACAAUAAUAAUUUAUAAUUAUGUAUACUUUAUAGUAUACCUAUCGUUGCUCGCGGAGCUUGUUCUCAACUAUAUAUUGUUAGCACAUAGUCGCCUAGAGCGUCAAAGAACGACGUUCUUAUUAUAAUAUUAUUAUCAUUGUCGUCGGAAGACGAAUAAUAAAAACAAUAAAUAAAAAACCUCUGUGCAUAUACCUAUUAUGUAUUUUGAUUUUUGUACGGAGGUAGUUUUUUACAGCUGUAGGUACUACCGCCGCCGGAGGGAAUACAAUAUAUUAUAUUAUAUUUCUACAAUAAUACACCACUCGCAUGUAUAUAUGCGCGUACGUAUUUAUAUAUAUAGGUACAAAAUACAAAGUAAUAUAAUCAUAAAAAUAAUAAUAAUA